ACAAAAUAAAGUUGACGGCUCAGAAAUGUGAGUAUCCUGUAAUAUAAACAAGGAGCCAACUAAAAACAAGAAUGAAAUGGCAGCCAGAGCAAAUACAACACCAUCAUUUCUUAGAUGGGCAAUCUUACGCCAAGCCCUUCCUUCCUCGCAAAUCCCAUGAAAAUCCUGGUGCUUCCUUAAUCUCUCCCAACACGUCAAUUAUGACAUGUUUUUGUAACAUGAUUAGUUUUUGUAGCUUGUAUGUUAGUUUGGGACAUUGUCGAAAACCAAUUAUUUUGCAGACAAUCAAUUACCCAGUGCUAUCAAGCACAGUUCUAGAAAACCCGUCUAGGAUUCAACUUGAUACCAGGCCAAGCAGUUGAAGACCAUGUCAAUGAAGAACCGAACUUUAUAGAUGUUUGCAUUGGCUACGCUUUGCCUGUUGAUGCAAGUCCCAAACUUUCGUCAAGUAAGCUUAUGUUGCCUAUUGUUUAAGGCAAAGAUUGGAUAAUGGUGCUGAUUUGAGUGAUUUUGAGGUUUCUAAUAGAUACAGUGUUGAUAACACUGGCCCAAUGUGUAUCUUACUUGUGGAGUUCAUAAUUUUUUUCAGCUUUUUCAAGAAUGUUGAUUUUAAGAUAAGUUUAUCAUUUAUACAGAUUCUGGAAGACACUUCUGAUAGAAAAUGGUUAUGUAGUUACAUUUGAUUUCUUAAUGGCAGUUGAGAUGCACCACAAUUGUUAGUUGUUUAACACGGUAUUGGAUUGGUGGGAGACUGAAACUUGAUUACUUGUGGGAGAAAAUUUAAAUGACAUGAGCAUCUUAUUUGUUAUCUUUGUUACUUUCACUAUAAAGGUGUUGUUAUCCAGGUCAGUGGACAUCUGAAGAUGUCCUUUCAUAUUUUUGCUUGUCACAUGCAGACAUGUUCAGAUUUCAUGAUAAGUUAGGUUAACUUGGUAAGAUAUGAUGUGAGAAGUUUAGAUGGUUGAAUCGUUUCUAAACCUAGGGCAGUGGCGUGCUAUUGUCUGAUUGGGGUUAUUCAUUGAAUAAGAGUCAUAAGAAGAUUUCAUGUCUGUACCAUAUUGAAAAAUUAACAUGUCAAUUGGAAGCAUGUACCUGGAUUAUGGAAUUGAAGUCUGUUUGCAUUAUCUGUGAGAAUUUCAAGUUGCCCAUGAUUCAAUACAUACUUGUUUAGAUUUCAGUUAAUGUUAAGCUCUAAGUUUCUCAAAUUGUUAGUGAUGAGCCUAGAAUUGGUUCCAAGGCCUGUUCUAGUGAUCAGAAUAUGAAUCAAGUUGGACGGUCUUCAGCCUGGGCUCGCCCCUGCUUGCAUCUUCUUUAUGAUUUGAAGUCAUUGUAAACAUUUACUUUCUGUCAUUGAGAUUCAAGAUGUCUUACAUUGUUUUGUAUUUUCUCAUUUAUAAAAAAAGAAAGGUUUUUUUGAAGAUAACAAUGGUGGUUUUGAAUAAAGUUUAAAUAUGUUUGUUUUUGCGAUUAGAGAUAUAAGGAUGCACAAGUCAUCACAUAGCCAUAUCAGAGGCUUAGCUCGUUGGUUGUGCUGGGCAUUAGCUUUGCCAAUGGGAACAUCAGUUUAGAACUAAAUUUUUGUUGGUUUGCUGGGUUAUGAUUCAAAACUGUUAUAUUCACUUUGAGUAUGAGCGUAGCAUUGCUCCACUUUCUCUUUCUCUUUUAUGUUCUUUAACAUCCAGACAUUCAGCAUAGCAUAGAUGCCAGCUCCACAGCAUUUGGCAAUACAGAAUUGAAGACUAUGACAUUGCAUUGGGAUGAGGAAGUAACUUAUAAUAUCUCCAACACUUUUAAUGUCAUAGUUGCCUGUGACUUGUGAGGGCAUGAAGCUUUUGACAAAAGAUUCCUUAUCUUCAUCUGAGCAUCAACAUUACUUUGAAAGUAGCUAGGUAUGGCCAUCCUUGACUAAACAAAGACCGUCUGCGUAGAGGACAAUCACAAACAGUGCAAAAGCUAUAUGAUGCUCUGUGGAUCAAAUAAACUGACGUUUAUUGGAGGAAUGGAACUGCUUGCUUUUUAAUAUUGUGGCACGUACUGUGUAUACAGAGUAGAGAAAUGAACAUGCCAUGACUUGAAUUCUUAUCUAUCAUGGUGAAGUACCUGCUUUCUUGCUCUUUCAAGGUUUUGCUCGUUUUUCAUUC